rnacentral:tRNA from 1 species
GGAUUGUGGCUCAGGGGUAGAGUGCUCGUCUAGCACAGGAGGGACCCCGGUUCGAUUCUCAGCACCA